AGCUGCUGCUACACUUGUAGUUCAGUGUAAGCGAAAGGGCUUUAAGUUGGUGAUCUCACAUACAAGAGACCUGGCAUUAAGCUCUUACUGAGGAGAACCAGGCAUUGCUGCAGUGCAGUGUUGAAAACAAUGACUAGCUUUCGCCACACGGGGGCAGUAGUUGUACACGGUCAGCGGUAAACCUGAUGUCAGAGGAAACGGCAGAACUAAGGGACAAAGGACACAAGGUUGGAGCCAAGGAAGCGUUCAACACUGCUUAAUUAUCUUCAUGGCGGAUGAAACAGAAGUGAAGCCUUCUGCAGGAGCCACCAGUGCGCUCAGGGACACAGCAUCCAGGGACCGGCCCCUGGUCCCCCUGCCUGCGCUCCGAGGAGCAGCGAACUGAGGAGCCGGAUGACUGGGACUGGAUUUUACAAGGAGCAGACUUCAGCCUUUUUAGGCCUUCAUGACGCAUGUGGCUAGCGGCUACCUCAACCAGCCCCGUUCGCUUUGACUGAGGCCUGUGCUGAGGACCGCCAUUCAUGACCAGCAGCGUGUGCAAACAGAAAAGUGUUAUUGUCAAGAUGCACAGACUCCUCAUCGCGCCUGGGCGGAACAUGAAACGGUCCCUCCAGCUGGAAGAGCGAGAGCUGUGUGGGCUUCCUGAAGUGGUGCAGCGCUGGGUCAUCGGAGAGCCGCAGUGCAUGCUUGGGAACAGAGCAGCUAUCUGUGUUAUUUCAGCAGCAGCAUGUUGGAUGAAGGGCCCUUCCACGGGCAUUAUGGAUUAAUCUUUGGCAGGAUCUCAACUGGAUCGGCCCAAAAAUGGGAUGCUUAACCCUCACGUGUAGCAGAACUGCUGUGAUAAAGCGGGAUAGAGAGGAUUGAGCGUGACCCACAUUGGGACUGUUCUAAAUGUAUUACCUGUGCUGGCUGUUUAUGAAGGUUUGUGCUAAAAGGGUAUGCUCUGCAAACCCACAAUGUUAUUCCAAGGGAGCCGUCACUAUAUAUAUUUAUAUAUUAAAAAGAAGCAACAACAGAUGUUUGCUAAUUCUGAGCGAUUUGUUUUAGGUGCAACAAUCAGAGAUCAGAAUUAGCAUUUUUUUUUUUUUUUUUAGCUCUGAUCAAGUCAAUACACUGACAAUGUUACAUUUCCCCUUCAAUCAUUAAAACUAUAUUCCUCCUAUGUAUGCUUCCUAAACUCAACGAUCAAAACGUAAGUACUUUUAUAAUAUAUAUUUUUUUUAUUUCAUAAAAAUCAGAUCAAGGUUAGUUACAUGCGCUUUCAUGCAUGAACUGGGUUUAACAUAGCCAUUGCUUCAUUUUCUGUUGGAUUCCAGACAUCUAUCUCUAUCAAAGAAUCAGCAGUAUAUUUUUCCCCUCUUUUAUAUGUUACAGUCCUAAGUAAAGAAAUAAAAUAAAAUCAAUCAAAAUCGAAUCUCAAAAUCCUCCUGUGAUCACUCCUAAUAAGAUGAUCGGCAAUAUUUCUCCCUUUCAGUCGUUAAUCUGCAACAUUUUGUACUAUAGUCGUAUUUAUUCCACCACCUUUCAUAUGUGAACACAGGUUCGCUGCUAAAAGCUCCCACUGUGGACCUCCCUUGUUGGAAAUUGUUUGUUACACAGGCCUGAGUGGAGAGCCACUUUCCUGUCGAGCUUCUCAUCAGGGAGUCGGUUUUGACAAGUCUGAAUAAUAAUAAUAAUAAUAAUAAAAAGUCAGGAACCGCAUGUACAAGCCUAGGUUCACAGAAAGGCAUUUUAUGAAUCCAGUGUGUUCUCCUGCCUCGCAAGAAACAAGUUCGGCAUAAAAGGCGACGCUGUUUGCUUGUGCGGAGCAGUUUGAAGUCUUUUUACAGACAUCCCAGAUUAGACAUCAGAGGGAUUUUCCACAGAAGAUAAAUCUGAUUUUAAGUCUGUGCUCUUAAUCCAGACUCCAUGGUCACGAGACGACGACCCGUGACAGUCUGGUUGUGAUUAAACCUUCUGGUAAUCAAAGCUCGACUCAGAUAUUGCAAAGUCACUGUCUCUCUCUCUUGGAAUACAAUUAUGUUUUUUAAUGAAUAUUUGAUGUUACUUGUUUAGAUUACAUCCAACCGAUAAAACAACAUCCUGCAUGAAUCAUUAAAAAGAAAAAAAGAAAGUAUAAAAACCUAAACCUGCUUCUCUUGGAACAUAUGCUUCAGCGGGGAAGUUCUUUAUUUGAGAUUCAAGCAUUAGACCCGAGACAGUGAUCACAAAACUCUGUUUAGAUUGUGCAAGCAGCGUUUCAGCACUACAAAGGCAGCUACGUCUUUUCAUGAAGGAGUUUACAAGUACUUCCUGCUUUACAGUGGUGCACUCCAGAGAAGGUGAAGGCUUUAAUGUGCAAUUGCCAUCUAACAAAAACACGAUUAUGUCAGAAGCUGCGUGUACUAUUCUCUCUGUUCAAAGGGGCUUUUGUGAUCAUAUAUUUUAAUGUACUUUAUCAAAGAUUCCCUUUUUUUGCGCUUCUGAACCCUGCAACAAAUGUUGCACCGUUUGAUAUUCGGUGUACGUAGUGGGAAGAUCCCAUUUUUAGGUGCUUUUAGAAGGACAAACAGAUCAUCACACCUCUGAUCACGAGCCCACCGCCUGACAAGUGAACACAAAACCUCUUUGCUGAUUUAUGUUUUGGACUGUACUUAAAACUGUACGAAUGUGAAAUCACCCCGUCCUCCUGACGUGACUCACAGCAUAAGGAUUUUGUCGCUCUUCUGGUUGUGUAAUUGCGGUCCCGUGAAGUCAUGUGACCGGCGUGAACCCAUUUUCGACUUGAAAACCCCUUGGCUCGGCGUCUGCCAGAGCGACAGCAGUAAUUCUCGGCGUGGUUUGAAAAGGGAUUCAGGAAAAAAAAAAAAAAGAAAAUCAAUCAUGUUGCAGCCUCAUGACACAGGGUGGAGUCACGCUGCUGAUGCGCUCGUUGCGUUGCUGUGACGCUCCUGUGAGGGGGCAGCUGAAUUAACAGUUUCAGACAGAGUUGGGGUUUCGGCACUCUAUUCCACCCACGCACUGUAAAUAUAGGUUAAUGAAGUAGCCUGUAGGCAGACGACAGGAGAGUGCGUUACCUUUGUUUGCUGGUGACAUUGCCGCAUGCAGCAUGAAGGGACCUCGCCGGCUCCGCACCUUUUAUUUCAGCAAUCAAGGGACCAACACUGACGAGGGAGACCUGAAAUGCAUGCUGAAAUUUUAUAUGAGAGCCUCCCUCCUAACUGUAUCAGCACUGAACCACAUAGAAAGUCGUAUGAAAAUGAAUAGCUGUGAUCUCCAAAUGAAAGGGAGAUCACACUAUAUGCUUAAAGGACCACAUCUAUGCCCGCUAAUAGGUUUCAUUGGCUCAAUCUGUUUUUUUUUUCCUGGUGGAGUUCAGAAACAGGCCCGUGUUUAAUCUGAGGCCGGAAUAGGUUUUGAAUGGCUUGAUUUGGUUAAAUCUGUAGAUGUGUUAAUUGCCAAAACCUCCCCACUCAAAUGCUAAAAUACUUCCCAGUGAUUUGCUCAUCACUUUCACGCAAUUCUCCUUAACAUGUGGGAUUUGAUUUGAUUCUGCUGAGUUUGUGUUUUAGCAGCCAUCGGGAUGCCAGGCGUCUCAGACGAGCGCAGGGUUGUCGAAUUGAACCCUGAUGCAGGUAAUCCACAUUAGAGAGCUGCUCAGACCUGCUGAACUACUUGUCAUGUCGCCUGCAGACAUAAUCAGAAUGUUUUUUGUUUUCAAAGGAACAAGUUGUGAGCAAAACAAAAGCCUGCCUCUGAAUGUCGAGGACAUUUAUCAGCUGAGUAUUGAAUAUCUGUGAGUGAAUCAACAGCAAAUAAACCAAUAAAGUAAACACGUUUUCUGAGUGUA